rnacentral:ncRNA from 1 species
CAGAGUAGGAACAGCGCGUUAAGUGCGGUGAGACGGGAUGUGGUCACCGACGAAAUACCGGAAAGGUAUGCGAUGCUGUAUCCGCAUCCGCUGC